CCCCAUUUAAUGCACAACACAUAUCUCACUUCUCUCAAUAAGAACAACAUUUCCUAAUUUUUUUAGGAAAAAUAAUUGUCCUGUCCUGAUCUUGCUAUUGAAUCUGGUGUCAUAGUGCUGGUGCGUCCGCUUACAAGAUCCUAUCACAACAUUAAAGGAUGUUUGGACCACUAAAUGUUACUACAUCUUUUUGAUAGGUGAUGGGGUGUCCAAAAG